UAGCAGUUAGCCAGCCGCUAAUAUUUACCAAAACAGUCUGGAGGACUUCGACAAUCACGCCACAAUCAUUUAGUACUUAAAUAAAUCAUGUACCACAUUGUCAGCUUUGUUGACACUGAAGUAGAGGUUGUGCCUGCAAUCUGGUGAAGAAUGGUGUGUGUUUUUGGCCUCCAAACAAGGGUGAAAGAAUUCAGAGGGCAACCAAGUGUUUGGAGCAACCCCAGGAGUCUUGGUCUGCAUAUAAAGUUAAAAUUAUGUAUACUGCAAAUAAUUAUAGUGAAGCACGCCAGAAGCUGCCUCUUGCAGAACAGCAGACCGAUCUCCAGUCAGAGGCUGAGCCCAACUCCCGGAGGCCACCAAAACGAAAAAUAAAACGAAACAGGCGCCUACUGGAUGAUUAUGACAGUGAUGAGGAGGCUACCACACCCCUAAAAAACUAUUUGCCACAAGCCCCACAAAUACAGCCUCUAUCCAAA